UACGAAGGGAGCUAGCGUUGUUCGGAAUCACUGGGCGUAAAGCGCACGUAGGCGGACGUGUCAGUCAGGGGUGAAAUCCCGGAGCUCAACUUCGGAACUGCCUUUGAUACAGCACGUCUUGAGUCCGGAAGAGGUGGGUGGAAUUCCUAGUGUAGAGGUGAAAUUCGUAGAUAUUAGGAAGAACACCGGUGGCGAAGGGCGGCCCACUGGUCCGGUACUGACGCUGAGG
rnacentral:rRNA from 1 species